rnacentral:rRNA from 1 species
AUGAACGCUGGCGGCGUGCCUAAUACAUGCAAGUCGAGCGAACAGAUGAGGAGCUUGCUCCUCUGACGUUAGCGGCGGACGGGUGAGUAACACGUGGAUAACCUACCUAUAAGACUGGGAUAACUUCGGGAAACCGGAGCUAAUACCGGAUAAUAUAUUGAACCGCAUGGUUCAAUAGUGAAAGACGGUUUUGCUGUCACUUAUAGAUGGAUCCGCGCCGCAUUAGCUAGUUGGUAAGGUAACGGUUUACCAAGGCGACGAUGCGUAGCCGACCUGAGAGGGUGAUCGGCCACACUGGAACUGAGACACGGUCCAGACUCCUACGGGAGGCAGCAGUAGGGAAUCUUCCGCAAUGGGCGAAAGCCUGACGGAGCAACGCCGCGUGAGUGAUGAAGGUCUUCGGAUCGUAAAACUCUGUUAUUAGGGAAGAACAAAUGUGUAAGUAACUAUGCACGUCUUGACGGUACCUAAUCAGAAAGCCACGGCUAACUACGUG